rnacentral:ncRNA from 1 species
GAGUUGUACAAAAGGAGAGAAGGUUGGCAUUCCCCUUGACAAGGAUGGAAGAAGCCCUCGGGCCUGACAACAAGCAUUUAGUUAAGGCAUUGCCACCUACUUCGUGGCAUCUAACCAUUAUUUAAA